rnacentral:rRNA from 1 species
UACGUAGGGUGCAAGCGUUAAUCGGAAUUACUGGGCGUAAAGCGUGCGCAGGCGGUUCUAUAAGACAGAUGUGAAAUCCCCGGGCUCAACCUGGGAACUGCAUUUGUGACUGUAGAGCUGGAGUACGGCAGAGGGGGAUGGAAUUCCGCGUGUAGCAGUGAAAUGCGUAGAUAUGCGGAGGAACACCGGUGGCGAAGGCAGCCCCCUGGGCUUAAAUUGACGCUGAGGCACGAAAGCGUGGGGAGCAAACAGG